UACGGAGGAUGCAAGCGUUAUCCGGAUUCAUUGGGUUUAAAGGGUGCGUAGGCGGGCUAUUAAGUCAGUGGUGAAAUCCUGCAGCUUAACUGCAGAACUGCCGUUAAUACUGAUAGUCUUGAGUUUGGUUAAGGUAGGCGGAAUGUGUAAUGUAGCGGUGAAAUGCUUAGAUAUUACACAGAACACCAAUUGCGUAGGCAGCUUACUGAGCCGACACUGACGCUGAGGCACGAAAGCGUGGGGAUCAAACAGGAUUA
rnacentral:rRNA from 1 species